rnacentral:pre_miRNA from 1 species
CCCUUAACUAUUAAAAGUUUCGUUUUAGUCCCUUAACUUAUUUUUUGGUUUCGUUUUGGUCCCUUAACUUAUUUUUUGGUUUCAUUUUGGUCCCUUAACUCUAAUACAUUCAUCCUAACAUAAAGGACCAAAGUAGUGACGGAGGAAGAGUUAAUGGACCAAAACAAAACCAAAAAGUAAGUUAAAGGACCAAAACAAAACUUUUAAUAGUUAAGGGCCCCAAACGAAACCAAAAAGUAAGUUAAGGGACCCAAACGAAACUUUUAAUAGUUAAGGGA